rnacentral:rRNA from 1 species
AUUGAACGCUGGCGGCAGGCCUAACACAUGCAAGUCGAGCGGAUGAAGGGAGCUUGCUCCUGGAUUCAGCGGCGGACGGGUGAGUAAUGCCUAGGAAUCUGCCUGGUAGUGGGGGAUAACGUCCGGAAACGGGCGCUAAUACCGCAUACGUCCUGAGGGAGAAAGUGGGGGAUCUUCGGACCUCACGCUAUCAGAUGAGCCUAGGUCGGAUUAGCUAGUUGGUGGGGUAAAGGCCUACCAAGGCGACGAUCCGUAACUGGUCUGAGAGGAUGAUCAGUCGCACUGGAACUGAGACACGGUCCAGACUCCUACGGGAGGCAGCAGUGGGAAAUAUUGGACAAUGGGCGAAAGCCUGAUCCAGCCAUGCCGCGUGUGUGAAGAAGGUCUUCGGAUUGUAAAGCACUUUAAGUUGGGAGGAAGGGCAGUAAGUUAAUACCUUGCUGUUUUGACGUUACCAACAGAAUAAGCACCGGCUAACUUCGUG